CGCAGAAGGGAGCCAGGGGAUGGGCUCCCAGCAAUCUGGGGGCCAUGGAGACUGGUUUGAGUGCAGGGGGAGUGGGCUAGGGCUAGCCCUGGUGGUAGGAUUCACAGGUGUCGGGCUUCUGGGCUACAGCUGCUCAGUCACCUCCUGGCACUCAGGUGCAUCAAUUCAUUGUCCUCAUGCCAGUGGUGGGGACAGCCCUAAUGCAGAGGGUCUGAAAAAUGCUCAGGUGUACCUGCAGUGUGUGAGAGGAAGGAGGCUGGCGAAGGUGGGUGUGGCCACCUCGCCAGAUGUGGGUCUUGAGGGAACUUCUGCCUCCUUUCAGGUGGCACAGAAUGUGGCCCUGUACACAGGCGACCCCAACCUGGGGCUGGAGCUGUUUGAGGCAGCUGGAGACAUCUUCUUCAAUGGGGCCUGGGAGCGGGAGAAAGCCGUGUCCUUCUACCGGGACCGGGCCCUGCCCCUGGCAGUGACUACGGGCAACCGCAAGGCGGAGCUGAGGCUGUGCAACAAGCUGGUGGCACUGCUGGCCACGCUGGAGGAGCCCCAGGAGGGCUUGGAGUUUGCCCACAUGGCCCUAGCACUCAGCAUCACUCUGGGGGACCGGCUGAACGAGCGCGUGGCCUACCACCGGCUGGCCGCCCUGCACCACCGGCUGGGCCACGGCGAGCUGGCGGAGCACUUCUACCUCAAGGCCCUAUCGCUCUGCAACUCGCCGCUGGAGUUCGAUGAGGAGACCCUCUACUACGUGAAGGUGUACCUGGUGCUCGGUGACAUCAUCUUCUACGACCUGAAGGUGGGUGGGGAGGGGCAGGGCUUGGGGUAUUCUCGGCCCCCUUGGAGUGGGAUCUCCACCCAGACCCCAGAGGCCUGGGUUCCAGCCUUCCUUAGGAAUGGCCCAGUGGCCUCCCUGGAGCUCUGCACCCAGCUGGAGGAGCCGGCAAGGUUAGCAGAUACAACCCAGCUCCCAAUCUGGCCAGGCCCCACCCUCAAGAACUGUCUCAGCCAGGGAGGCUGACACAUGAGCGGGCAAUGGUGGCCUCUGGGUAAAGAAGGGGGAUUGUAGUCAGGGGGGCCCUCCUGGAGGAGGUGACACCAAAGCUGAGUCUUGACAGUCAAGUGUCAAGUUGCAUUUAACAAAGAAAACAGGGUGGGGAGAAGGACAUUUCUGAGGACGGCAUCAUCCUCACAUGGAAUCCACGUUGUCAGAUCCAACCCAAAUCCCGGCGCCUCCUCUAGGAAGCCUGCCCAGGGUGCCAGCCCGCACUGAGCAACUCCUUCCUGGAGUCCCGAGACACCUUGAAUCUUCACAUCACCCAGGAAGGGUGGGGUGGGGCCGGUGUCUUACCAUCUGCUUCACAGACGGAAACCCCAGCUCAGGGCAGGUGCAGUGGGGCCGGGCCCCAGCCAGCCAGGCUGAGGCCUUGCUGGGUCGGGUCUGUCUCGAGGGGAGGUGCUGGGACCUGUGCUCCCUCUGACCCCAGCCCUGCAGGGGUGGAGAGCUGGGACUGGCAGACUCGGACCUGGGGUGUCUCCACCCCUCUGCCCAGCAGGCGCCCGCCCCUCCUAGCAUCGCACCAGCACCGCGUCAGUGCUCCUUAGAGGCUGAGGGGCCAGGGCGCUCCAGUCCAGGGACCGAGAUCUUGGGGGCCUUAGAACAACAUGAGGAGCUGGGGCAGCCCUAAAACCCCGCCCCGUAUCCCCCACCGCAGGCUUGGGGCUGCCCAGGAGGCCCCCACCCAGUGCUGGCGACACCUGGUGGUCAGAAGCAGUUCCUGUGGCCUCCCAAGUCCCAGCCAGACAGGGAGGUGCCAGGUGUCAGGCCCAGAGGGACGCUGCUCACUGCUCAGGGGCUCGCCUGGGACCCAGGGGACGGGCCUCCCGGAAGAGGCCUUUAUCUCUCCUGGUCAAGCCUGCCGCCCACUCUGCCUGCCCAGGAGCAAGGAAAGGGCCAGGUAGUACCUGAGAGGCCAAAGUCCAUGGUUGGGGUCGAGGGGCAGAGGCCUCCUUCACCGCCUUCCCCUGCACAGCCCUCUGGGCCUCAUCGUGACUAUGCUGUCAGCGCAGGCCAGCUUCCCACAGGGAGGCCCCCUCGGAAUUCCCCAAGGGCGGCUGUCUUUCGAAGGCCACGCCCUCCUCCUUGUAUAGGAGGCUCUGGACCCAGGGCCCAGAGGAGUGGGAGAGAAAGCUGGGCUGGAUGGGCCCUGGAAGGCUGGCGGAGAGGCAGGGGCAAAUGGGCAUCUUUGCUGAUUGCCUCUAAAAUGGGGUCCCCUUUAGUCUACAUGUGAGAGUGAGCCCUGGAAUAGGGUGGAUUAGGUGUCUCCUGGCUCAACCUGCCACUUACUAGCUGCUGCACACACUACAGGCACAUGGAAAUGCACACGCAAAUACGCACAGGCACAGGCACACGCACACUCAGGCACACACACACAGGCACACGCACACAGGUGUGCACACACAGGCACACAGACGCACACGUGCACAGGCACACGCACACUCAGGCACACAAACACAGAGGCACAGGCACACCCACACAGACACAGUCACACGCACACACAGCCACACACACAGGCACAGGCACACAGGCAUAGGCACACAAACACCCAGAGGCACACACACAGGCGCGCACACAGACCCACACGCACACAGGCACACACACAGGCACACACACACAGGCACACACACAAGCAAACACACACAGGUACAGGCACACAAACCCAGGCACACACACAGGGACACACACACACAGGCACAGGCAGAGACACACACACAGGCACACGUACUGACCCACGUGCACACAGGCACACACACAGGGACAUGCGCACACAGGCACACACACAGGCACACACACACAGGCACACACACACACAGGCACACACAGAGGGACACGCACACACAGGCACACACACAGGCACACAAACACACACAGGUGCACACACAGGGACACACACACACAGGCACACACAGGCACACACACAGAUGGGCACACACACAGGGACACGUGCACACGGGCACACACACAGGCACCACACACAGGCACACACAGGGACACGCACACACAGGCACACACACAGGCACACACACACACAGGGACAUGCACACACAGGCACACACAGGCACACACACAGACGGGCGCACACACACACAGGCACACACACACAGGGACACGCGCACACAGGCACACACACACACACAGGCACACACACACAGGCACACACACACAGGCAUACAGGUGCACACACACAGGGACUCGCACACACAGGCACACACAGACACACACGCACACACGGGCACACACAGACACACACGCACACACACACACGCACACGCGGAGACAUAUGCUUUGGCUGGCUCCUUCCUGUUUCAUUGGGAAGCCCCCACCCCUUCAGGAAGCCCUUGCCUCCCACCCCCGGCUGAGUCUGGGGCCUCCUGGGCCUCCCAUAGGCUCCUGGGCUUCCCUGUGCCACAGCCCGCGCCACCCUCUGUGGUCAGUGUUCACUCCCAGGUCCCUCAGACUGGGAGCAAGGACGUUAGGCUCAGCCAUGCACCCAGCGCAGAGUCCAGUGUUCGGCUGGGCCGGGGGGCAUUGGAUGAGCAGUGGCGGUGACUCGGGGCCUUCUCACGCCCCUGCUCCGUGUGUGGGGGGGGGCAGUGAGGGAAUGGACUGCUGCAUCUUGGACUUUGUCCUUGGCCCUGGGAGCCAUCUUGAGAUGGUAAAGGGGGACAGGCCAGGCAUGGGUCUUAGAGAGGUCCCUUGGGUGACCCCCAUGUGGAGGAGGCGCCUGGGGAGAAGCUGGUUGGGGGAUGGGAGGGUCAAGGAGGAGGUCUGGGAGGCAGCAUCCCAACCCAGGGAUGGUGAGUUUGAGCCAAAGAUGCAUUGAAAAUGGGAGUGGAUGUCUGGGGAGUCACACUCCGUCAAUAUUUCAGGGAACAUUGCCAGAGAGGACACCUGUGAGAUAGUUUUGUACCUGGCCUGGCCCGUGGAGGGCCUGGAAAUGGUCAGCAUGGACAGGGGCCAGAGGACAGCCUGGGUCACUCAACGCUGUGCCCCUGCUGUGGCUUGGAGCCAUGGGUCCUGCAUGGAACUCUCAGAGCAGGCAGGAUCUGCCCUGACCUUUUCCCAUGGGGAAAGCAGCCACUGCCUGCAGAGAGGGUGGGAC
rnacentral:lncRNA from 10 species